GAUGAACGCUGGCGGCGUGCCUAAUACAUGCAAGUCGAACGCUUCACUUCGGUGAAGAGUGGCGAACGGGUGAGUAAUACAUAAGUAACCUGGCAUCUACAGGGGGAUAACUGAUGGAAACGUCAGCUAAGACCGCAUAGGUGUAGAGAUCGCAUGAACUCUAUAUGAAAAGUGCUACGGGACUGGUAGAUGAUGGACUUAUGGCGCAUUAGUUGGUUGGUAGGGUAUCGGCCUACCAAGGCGACGAUGCGUAGCCGACCGGAGAGGGUGACCCGCCACACUGGGACUGAGACCCGGCCCAGACUCCGACGGGAGGCAGCAGUAGGGAAUUUUCGGCAAUGGGGGAAACCCUGACCGAGCAACGCCGCGUGAAGGAAGAAGUAAUUCGUUAUGUAAACUUCUGUCAUAGAGGAAGAACGGUGGAUAUAGGGAAUGAUAUCCAAGUGACGGUACUCUAUAAGAAAGCCACGGCUAACUACGUGCCAGCAGCCGCCGUAA
rnacentral:rRNA from 1 species